ensembl:lincRNA
UGGCUGGCAGGGCCCCAGCUCCGCCGCCGCCUCCCCAGCGCCCUGCCUGUUCCUCUCCUGUGCUUAGCACGUUCUGUUUCGCGGUGCAGUUAUUUCUGUACCUGUCUUCCUCUGUCAGUGUGCACGUCUGAAUUUGUCACACUGCCUAGCACACAGCCUGGGGGAGGAGGCUCCGCAGUCAGCGAUCAAUACAGUUGUUAUGUAACGAACAGAUGAAGGCGUGGAUGUCUGUCAGAAAUGGGGGUACGAUCCGAAGACAUCAGGCCUGGAAGAGGCUUCCAGGAGACACCUGAGGAGACUCAGGACCAGCGUGAGCCAGGAUGUUCAGAGAGACAGGGCCUGAGUGUCUGCAGCAGUGGCCAGAGGGUGACCAUUUAACUCUGUGCAAGCCAGGAGAUGGCCCUCAAGAUGCAACCUGGAAGAGAUGGGACUGGUUUUUCAAACAGGUCAGCCUCAUACCUCUCAUUCCUGUCUUCCUCGGACGGUGAUGGUGGCAGGUGGAGGAGGAGUACUCUGUCCUGCCGUCUGUCUGCAGAAACGAAACAUGCACCUGAACUUCACUACUGCAUGGAGAAAUCUGGGCUACAUGUUGGGCUACGUGCCCAGUAAGGGCUUGGCAUUACAUAAGGUCCAGAUAGUAAAAAACACCACAAUUUCCCCUCUCCACGUUGCUUUUGUCCAGAUUAUUUGCCUUUUUGAACUACAUAAUUAACUUUAAAGCAUUCUAUGGAAUUUAUUGUGGUUUUUGUAGUCCGUUGUUCUCAAAACCACAAUAAUUAAUGACCCAAGAAGGCAAAAGAGAGAAAACUGAAAAUUCAAUUUUCUUGUGCACCAUAAUGCUCUCCUCUGUCUGUGUGGUCUCCUUCCACUCAGCCUCCACCCAGGCAGCACACCACAGCGGGCCGCCGACAGUGGUGCCUCUUUCAGUUGUCACUCCAGGUCCCCCAGGCUUCCUCUCCAUGUGACUUGUCCUUGCUCUUUGAGCCCUGGCUCUUGGAUUCAUGGCUGCACACUUGCCAGGGACUUCCCUGGUCUGUGACCACUCCGACUUCCCUGUCGGCUUCUUGGACAGAAAGUUCCAGUCACCUCUGCUCACCUGCCUUCCCAUGUUGCCUAUGCAGAGGUCUCUGGGCCUGGUCUUGGCCCAGGGAAUACCACUCUCUGGGGUGAGGUGCAGGUCAGGAUGUGGUGGGACUCACUGUGUUACUGUUAUUUGUGACAUCAUUUAGAAAAAUACACAAGUCAGACUUGGAGCUUAUCAGCUUAGAACUGAUCCCAGAGACCUCUUACCUCUCCCUGCUGAAGUCCUUUACUCUAGUCACUCCAGCCUGCCUGCUGGAGUGUUCAUGUGCCGGCUCACUCUCACCACCGAGCCUUUGCAAGGAAACUCCCUACCCCAUUGCCACCCCGGGAGGUCCCCAACGCUGGGAAGGCCUGCUCGGUGGAGGGACAUCCCAUGGCCGCCAGACCAUGCAUUCAGGCUUGGGGGAUCUGAUGAAGGUGCUUGUGGUCCAGAAAGACUGACCACACAGUCUUUCUGAAUGUUUUUUAUUACUUCAUAUUAUGGGGG